rnacentral:lncRNA from 1 species
UGCUCUUUUCCUGUGUAUUGCCAUUUGUUUUUGUUUCUUUGCAUGCCUCAUAAUUUUUUUUAAAACUGAACAUUUAAAAUAUUAUUAUGUGGCAACUCUUGAAAUCUGAUUCUCUCCCCUGCCCAGGGUUUGUUUUCUGCUACUUAUUUUAGCUGUUGUUUGUUCAGUUAUUUUUCUGACCUAACUUUGUAAAGUCUUUAUUCUUUGUCAUGUUUGGUCAUUGAAGUCCCUCUUCUGUCAGUUUAGUGGUCAGCUAGUGAUUGGACAGUGUUUGCAGAUCCACUCUGUGUGUGUGUCGAGGAAAGUCUUUAACACUCAGCCGGGCAGUUUGAACUCUGCUUUAGCUUUCACUUCCUUCCUCUGCAGAGCUUGAAGGUCAGUCAGUGGUGGGAGCUGAGGGCCUUCUCAGGUCUUUCCUGAGCAUGUGCAUGGCUUUGUAGAUUCCCAGGAAUACAUCAGAGCUUUUCAAAGUCCUUAUUCCUCAAAGGAUCUUAUUCUCUAGACUUUCUUCCUGAGCUUUUUGGUUAGUCUACUUUUUUCCCUCCACUUUCAUCCAUUGCUUGAGGCAGCAGCAACUAACACAUUUACCUGUUAAUGUUUUUGAAAACAAUGUCUUUUUAAUGAGUCCUCCAGGGAGCCACAAUUCAAGUCAAAACCAACAACCACAACUCUUUGCAAAUGAGGUCCAUUCUGCUCCCUCCAGUGCUGACAUCUGUUCUGAGAAUGUGGGCUGUUAUCUUCAAGGCCACCACCAAGGUGGUGAGUACAGAAGGGGACCAGAAAAGCAUAUUCUACAUAUUGAUCAAGAUGUAUGUGUUGGUGCCUUCGGAAGAGUGCAUUCCUGAAAAGCAUCACCCUCCUGGCUCAUCUCGUACCUGUAGAACUGACAGAGGUUUGCAAUCUUCUUCAAGUGCUGGGCCUUUUUUCUCAAGGUCUUGCCAAUUUCCACUGGCCUUUAACACCUUCUUUCAAGUCUGGAAAUUUCUUAAUUAAACAGAAAUUGGCCUCCUUCUCCUAUGAUUUCUUUUCAAACUAAGCCACCAUAUGAUACUUUUACCAGAAUUUUGGGUGCAAACACUUCAUCUGGGAAUAUCUUCUUAUGACUGGAAAGUUUAAUGUGUAACCAGAUUAUCCCUAAAAGGAGAGAACAUCUUGGAAUCUUAAGAGACACCAGAAGCAAUUAGGAGUGGAAGCACUUACUGAAUGUGUUCCCUAGACUCUAUGAACUCUACAUUUUUGUUUUAUUUUUUAUUAAUGGGAAGGAAACAGGAAUAUUACUCUCUCCCAACAAAUACUUACAUUUAAUAAGGGGCACACACACUCACACCACACAGCCUCUAUAAAGAGGAAGGAUGUAAGCUUUUAGUAGCGUUACAGAAGGAAGAAAGGAUGAUUAGCAUUCUGCGAAUUCAUUUUCUUCCUCAGGAACCCAUAUUGCUAAAUGUUACACUCCCACCCCAGACCUGAAUCUACCUAGGCACAUUCAACCUCUCUAUACACUUCUCUGCACAAUAAAUAUAAGCCCUUAAAUUAUUUUUCCUCCC